rnacentral:lncRNA from 1 species
AUGUGGUAGUGCUCAUGGAGGAUGGCCGGCGCGAGAGUGUGAGAGAUGCCCUGUUUAUGUGGUCAUGUUUGGUGUCUUUCUUCCUUGUUUUGCUUCGUUGAUCGUCUUGCAUCGAGUAGGUGAAGUUGGCCGCGAACUCUGAUAGUUUCCUCAAGUUUGGCAUAUGAUGAACUGAUUUGGUGGUGAAAUUGGUCAUGAAAUUCUGUUGAUUUCCUCAAAUUUGGCAUAUGAUGAACUCAUUUGGUGCUGAAAUUGGUCAUGAAAACAUGUUGAUCUCCUUAAAUUUGGCGUGCUGGACUAAUUUGGUGGUGAAAUUGGUCAAGAACUUUUCAAGUUUUGCCUGAUGAACUGCUUUGAUUGUCUUAAGCUAGUCUUGCCUCUAUAUCUUUCCUCGUUCUUCAUCUGUACUUAUUGCUUUAAACUUUCUGUAAAAAGCUGGGCAUUCUCUGAAAAAAUUGAUUGAUCUCCUCGAUUUUUGACGACAUGGAGCUGGUGAACUACUUUGAUUGUCUUCAGCUAUUUUCCCCUGUUUAUCUUUCCUCGUUCUUGAUCUGCAUUGCUUUAAGCUUUCUGUAAAAAGCUGGGCAUUCAUGCAACCUCUCUGAAAAUUUGACUGAUUUCCUCGAGUUUGACGUCACGGAGUUGGUGAACGGGCAGUUACGGGUUGAUGAUUUUUGCUUGCUAUUCCGUGAUUACUUUGUGGUUAUCCUUGAGUUUAACUUCGUGCAAGAACAGCAUCUGUUCCAGUUUGUGCUUACGGGUUCUUGCGUGAACAGACACAUGAGAUAGGCGUUUCUUUGUUUUGGUGGUUCCUGAAUGUUUUGUAUUUAUCCUACAGUAUGUGUUUACUUCUUCAUAUUAUCAACUCUACUUUUGGUGGAGAAGUUGAUCCUUAACUCUGUCGAUUUUCCAAAAAGAAUAAAAGCGUAUGAUGAACUACUUUGCUGGUGAAAAUUCGUGAUUAAACUUUGUUGAUUUCCUCUAGUUUGAGGUAAUGAACUGAUUUGGUAGUGAAACUGGUCCUGAGCUUAUUUUUUAGAAAUGGUCAAGAACUUGUUGAUUUCCUGAAGUGUGACGUGAUUAUUUGAUUUGUGGUGAAUGUGUUGCUUGUUCCGUGGUGUUGAUCUUCUGUGUUACUUUGUCAGAACAGUAACAGUAACUGUUUGUGUUUGUGGUUGUGGCGUUGUUAUGUGGACAGCUAUAUAAGACAUGACAUAUUCCGUGGUGUUAAAAACAGAGUAUGCACGAAGAAAAAGCAAGAGGCAAUACACACAAGAAAUUGGCACUUUUACUCUUCUAUCCUUAGUUCAGUCCCAGCAAAUGGUUUUAUCUUUGGCUUUUGGCGCUGCAACUUUUUAGUUUCCUCAAGUUUGGCAUAUGAUGAACUGAUUUGGUGGUGAAAUUGGCCAUGAAGCCGUGUUGAUCUCCUUAAGUUUGGCGUGCUGGACUAAAUUAGUGGUGAAAUUGAUCAUGAACGGUGUUGAUUGUAUCAAGUUUGAUCUCGCCUGUCUAUCUUUUCUCGUUCUUGAUCUGUAUUGCUUUAAGCUUUCUGAAAAAGCUGGGCAUUCAUGCCUACUCUCUGAAACUUUGACUGAUCUCCUCGAGUUUGACGUCAUGGAGUUGGUGAACGGGCAGUUACGGGUUAAUGAUUU